UACGUAGGGGGCAAGCGUUGUCCGGAAUUACUGGGCGUAAAGGGAGCGUAGGCGGCACUGUAAGUUUCAUGUGAAAUACCCGGGCUUAACCUGGGGGUGUCAUGGAAAACUGCAGAGCUAGAGUACAGGAGAGGCAAGUGGAAUUCCUAGUGUAGCGGUGAAAUGCAUAGAUAUUAGGAGGAACACCAGUGGCGAAGGCGACUUGCUGGACUGAAACUGACGCUGAUGCUCGAAAGCGUGGGGAGCAAAC
rnacentral:rRNA from 1 species